rnacentral:rRNA from 1 species
UACAGAGGUCCCAAGCGUUGUUCGGAUUUACUGGGCGUAAAGGGCGCGUAGGCGGCGCGGUAAGUCACUUGUGAAAUCUCUGAGCUUAACUCAGAACGGCCAAGUGAUACUGCAGUGCUAGAGUGUGGAAGGGGCAAUCGGAAUCCUUGGUGUAGCGGUGAAAUGCGUAGAUAUCAAGAGGAACACCUGAGGUGAAGACGGGUUGCUGGGCCAACACUGACGCUGAGGCGCGAAAGCCAGGGGAGCAAACGGG